rnacentral:rRNA from 1 species
UACGUAGGGUGCGAGCGUUAAUCGGAAUUACUGGGCGUAAAGCGUGCGUAGGCGGUUCGUUAAGUUCGUUGUGAAAGCCCCGGGCUCAACCUGGGAAUGGCAAUGGAAACUGGCGGGCUGGUGUAUGGCAGAGGGGGGUGGAAUUCCGCGUGUAGCAGUGAAAUGCGUAGAGAUGCGGAGGAACACCGAUGGCGAAGGCAGCCCCCUGGGUCAAUACUGACGCUCAGGCACGAAAGCGUGGGGAGCAAACAGG